GUUACAACUCGUCGAGGUUGGCGGCGGCGCCAUUUUGAAUUGGCGGAGGGUCGGAGGCGGCGGUCGGUCGAACCGGGCUUCGCGUCCCCCAGAGAAAAGCUGCGAGAAAGGAGUGAGGUGUGACUAUGGCAGCGAACAGGAACUUAAAGCAAGUACGGAUCGAGAAUAGCUCCCCCGCAGCGCCGCUGGGCAUGGUGGGGGGUGGCGGCGGCGGCGGCAACCUGAAGGGAUUGCGGGGCCUAGAAACGGAGAGUGAGGCGGCGGCGGCGGCGGCAAUGGCGCUGGUGCCGAGCAAAGAAGGUGGAGAUGAAGAGCAGGAGGUUGGGUUCACCAUCGAUAUCAAAAGCUUCCUCAAACCUGGCGAGAAGAGCUACACGCAGCGCUGCCGGCUCUUCGUGGGGAAUCUGCCGACUGAUAUCACUGAGGAAGAUUUCAAGCGCCUUUUCGAGCGCUACGGGGAGCCGAGCGAGGUCUUCAUCAAUCGGGACCGUGGCUUUGGCUUCAUUCGCCUGGAAUCUAGGACGCUGGCUGAAAUAGCAAAGGCAGAACUUGAUGGUACUAUUUUGAAGAGCAGACCACUUCGAAUUCGAUUUGCUACGCAUGGAGCUGCCCUAACAGUCAAGAAUCUUUCACCUGUGGUUUCUAAUGAGCUGCUGGAACAAGCAUUCUCUCAAUUUGGGCCAGUGGAAAGAGCUGUUGUUGUAGUAGAUGAUCGUGGCAGAGCUACGGGAAAAGGUUUCGUAGAGUUUGCAGCAAAACCUCCAGCACGGAAAGCUCUAGAAAGAUGCAGUGAUGGGGCAUUCUUGCUAACAACAACACCUCGACCUGUUGUUGUAGAACCAAUGGAGCAAUUUGAUGAUGAAGAUGGGCUCCCAGAGAAGCUAAUGCAAAAAACACAACAGUAUCACAAGGAAAGAGAACAGCCUCCACGUUUUGCUCAGCCUGGAACAUUUGAGUUUGAGUAUGCUUCACGGUGGAAGGCUCUUGAUGAGAUGGAAAAGCAACAGCGUGAACAGGUUGACAGGAACAUUAGAGAAGCCAAAGAGAAACUAGAGGCAGAAAUGGAAGCGGCUAGACAUGAGCAUCAGCUAAUGCUGAUGAGGCAAGAUCUCAUGCGACGUCAAGAAGAACUGAGGCGUUUGGAAGAACUUCGAAAUCAAGAACUUCAAAAGCGCAAGCAGAUACAAUUGAGGCAUGAAGAAGAACAUCGACGUCGUGAAGAAGAGAUGCUACGCCAGAGAGAGCAGGAGGAAUUACGCCGACAGCAGGAGGGAGGAUUUAAGCCAAAUUUCAUGGACAAUAUGCGUUUAGCCCAGCACCUGCUGGUAACCAAGGCCCUCCUCCAAUGAUGGGUAUGAAUAUGAACAACAGAGGAACUUUACCUGGCCCUGCAAUGGGUCCUGGUCCUUCCAUGGGACCAGAAGGAGCUGCAAAUAUGGGAACACCAAUGAUGCCAGAUAAUGGAACAGUGCAUAAUGAGAGAUUCCCUCAAGGAGGUCCAUCACAGAUGGGUUCACCUCUGGUUAGUAGAACGGGCUCUGAAACUCCUCAGCCGCCAAUGAGUGGUGUAGGUGCCGUGAGUGGUGGACCUGGUGGCUUUGGUAGAGGAAACCCAGGGGGCAACUUUGAAGGACCUAACAAGCGUCGCAGAUACUAAAACUUAUUUCAUUCCUUACUGUUUAGAAAUUCCAGUGAAACUAUACAGUGAUAUGCCUUUAUAAUUUUAGCUGUUACCUGAAAACGGUUUUAUUGUUAUUGUAGUCUUUAAAACAGUUUCUUUUGUAAAACUUUUUUUGUAUUCAGUCAUAGGCUUUGUAGUAUAGAGAAAAAAUGAUGCGGAUCAUUAUGUAAGGCAAUGUGUUUGUGACUAGCAAAAUACAAUGUGUGACUAUGCUGUAAAACGUGCAGUUAACUGAUUACAAUAAAAUAUAAAAAUCACUUGAAAGGAUCUUGGGAAUGUUAUUACUAAUACUGGGUGAGAAUAAUUUUAUGCUUAAUUAUAAGUGGCAUAAUUUUCAUUCUUAAUGUAGUUUCUACUGUGUGUCAAGAAAGUUCCAUUCUUAAUAGUGAUUCUGUUUACUGCAUGUUGCAGUAUGUAUUAUGAACAAUUUAUAAUACAACUGGUUUUGUUUCGACUUUUGAGGAGCAUCAAAUUUUACACAAACUGUUCUCAAGGAUACUGUGUCCUUAUAUCUCAGUCUCCCUUUGCACACUUAGUCACAAUAGGCUUAUCAACAGAGUAUAUCCAUUAAUCUGAUUAUUGGAAAAUGUAACUUGGGGAAGAAACCUCUGGAAAAGGAAUCUGUAUGUAUGCUUUAUUCAUAACAGUAUGAAUGAAUUUACCUAACCCAUACUUCUACAGAAGAAAAGUUGUUGUUUCAUAUGUGUGUUCUACUGAUCAUUAAAGUAUCUUCCCAUUGCAAGGGAAAGAGACAUUUGUGCAAGCUGGUUUAAAGCCUUCCACUGUGUAAUGCAUCAUUAUAAGUAUACGUUUCCCCUAAUGGCUGGUUUGAAUAGAAACAAGUCUGUUUCCUAAUUAAACAGUUAAUAAUUGGUGGCAAGUACAUGUUUUUCAGUUAAAAUAAUUGUUCAUUUAUAGUAGAGUAAUAUGCAUUUAGAAGGAUUGCAUGAGUAUUCUUGAUAAAUGUUUUACAAAAAUGAUGAAUUUGAAAAAUACACGUUUCCAACACAACUCUGGCUAGAUUUGCUGAUUGAGUCUUAAGAUAAAACUGAUGGAAAAGCUAGUAGAAAGCUUAUUAUGAUUCAGAUUUUGUCAGUCAUGGAAGAUGAUGGAAAAGACCUAUUGGCUCUAUUCCUGCAAUGGCAAGAAAGUAGGAACAGUUUUGGUUAGUGUUGCUUUUUUCCUGUCCAAAAUAGUUGUAAAAUAUUAGUGUUCUGUUUUUGUCGGUUCAACUCAUGUUUUCAGAAAUAGAAAUUGCUAAAAUUUAUCUGCAUGAACAGUGAUCCUAAAUCGAUUAAAAAUUGAUUUGAGAUAACCUGAUGCCCUGCUUAUAUCAAAAUUGUAUGUACAUAGCUCAAAGCAUGGGAUGCAGGCAGCAGAGAGAGCAUGUAUGUGUUACUUCUUAAUAUAGCAGUGAUCAAUUGAAUUGUGAGCAAAUGGGUAACAGGAAAAUUGCUGCAUUGCUGGCAUUUUGGAAUUAUAUUUCAUUUGCCAGUGUUCUAUGGCUUAAGAUAGAGAUUGUUCUCAUGCAAUUCAUGAGUUACCAUGUGACAUCUGUAACUAUUAAGCAUUUUCUUCUAGACGGUCUUUAAUGUUGCCCUUUUUUGCUCAACUUGAGUUAGAUGCCACACUUUAUAAUUUGUAAUGCAAGAGUGAGUUAGAUUUAAAGUCUGAAUUACUCUUUCCCCUACUCAUAUGUAUCAUGCUACAGCACUCGUUCUUCAAAAACACCCUGCAACUGGUUUUAUUAGCCCACUAUUCCUAAAGCUCAACAUUUGGGAAAAUAGCUGUCUUUUUUCAGUAGAUGUAAACUAGUGUUUGCAUGUAGCAACUACUUAAUUUCUCUGCUUUGGUGUACUGCAUUCAGUUGAAAAUGUAGUUUAUAUCUGUGUCUAGUAAGGUGUCUAAAUAUUAGAUUACUUUUGUCUCAUUUUCUGCCUUUUUAUGGGGACUGAGAAAGUACUGGUGCGAGUUGAUAAUUCUAAACUGUAAAUCUGUAAAGCAAACGUUUUGAAUAUAACUUGAACUAGUUUCAAGAGGUCUGUUCAAUUUUUCAAAGGAAGAGGUUGUGUCAUUCAGGCCUUCUGGCCAACUCCGGUAUAUUUGUUUAGAUAUAGACACUCUCAUCCUUGUAGUAUCUGAAUACGUUUCAGAAGUACAUUAAACAUACCAAAUCUGCAAAAAGUGUUCUUUCCUUGCCAUGCUAUUUUGAGUGCAUCUUUGUUGCACUGGAUUUUUGCUAGCAAGCAAACGUAUGUAUAUGAAAGUUAUUGUAGAUUUUAAUUAAUAUUAAGGAUUUUCAUUCUACAGUUGUGAGCUACCCUUCCUGUAAAACUGACUUAGAUGGCUGUACUGCACGGUAGCGGUGAAUUUGUUUGCUUUCCUUAUUGCAGAAAGUCAUCUCAUCUCUUUUUAAAUAUUGAUGAACCCAGCCUUGAAGUCCUAAAAAAUAAGAACUGAAAUGUUGAAUUUGGGUACACUUGAAAGAUUUCACGAAGAAUCGCUGUUGUAGCUGAUGACAAGCUGCCAAAUUCUGCUCUUAAUAAAAGCUUUCUUGGGGCUGCCUGGCCAUUUGAUUAUAUGUAAAGUAAAGGCAGUGAUUUUCAUUUUUCCGUAUAUGGUAGUAACUGACUCUAGCUAUAUGAUAGACACAUAUUUUUCUUAGAAAAGCAACGGUCGCAAUUUUGGCUCCUAAAAAUCGUAUGUAGACACAGCCAAGCAGUGGUUUUGCUUUAAAAUGCUGCCCUGAUGCUGGAAGCGAUUAAUUUUUUGUGUUCCUCAUGUGGCUGAUCUUUUUUUCUGUGUACACAUGUAGUUAAGUUUUUAACUGUCUUUGGUUUGUUUGACUAGAAAGCAUGGUGAAGUCCUGACUCUGCUGUGUGCUGUGCUAAAACAAAUAAGCAUGGAAAGGAUAUCAAAUUGACACCUACGAUGCACUUACUUUUGGUCUUACUGAGUUUUUAAGUUAUUCCUGCAAUUUCAGUCUAUACAGCUUAAUUUUCAUGUGAAAUACUAUUUUAAUAUUACAGAUAGCAAAGCUUUGCUAUUUCAUGUAAGUGGAAAAAAACCACCACCAGAAUCCAGCUAGUCUGGCUGCAUUUGCAUUUAUCACCUCAGUCAUUUGUAGGGGAGCUAUGUGGUGCUUGAAAAAAAAACUUAAUUUUGAUUGUGAGUUAAUUUCUUUGUAGUUCUGUCCAGUGUGCUCAUUAGAUAAAGCACAGUGAUAUACUGGGAAAUUUGGUGGUGAUUCAAAUAUACUUAACUAUUUAUUUCCUAAGAAAAAUACAGAUUACUAUGGAUUACCUAGAAAGAAAAUUCCUGACCUUAAGUUGUUUUAUUUAUUGUCCACAUAUAUUUUAUCUAUUUGGACAUAAAGAUAUGAUAACCUGGAGACUCUUAUUAGAACAAAAGGUGAGAACAAAAGGUGGCAAGAAGACAAUAUGAACUAAAUGUUGCUUUAAUUUUAAGUAAAUCAAAUAGGAUUUUACAGUCUGUGUUCUUUGAGGAGCAUUCUGAUUUAACAUAUACUGUCAUAUUUUAAAAUAUUAUACCAAUCUCAUUGAUUCCCUUUUCCACUUCUGAUUUCAGAUUUUUUUUUUUAGCUUGAAAAAUAGAAUAAUCUGUAGUUAAAAAUUCUUUUGAAAGGUACUAAAUACAAAUGCAUUGGCUUUUAUGAAGUACUAAUUGUUAAAUGGUCACAAUCUGCCUUGAGAUAACAUGGAUUUUAAAAGCUGAAGUAACCACUCUAAAGGAAGAUUCUCAAGUGAAAACCAAACCCCCUUAGGCUUUUUGAAGGGAGAGUAUGCUUGGAGGGGAGAUGUUCAGCAAAUGAGUAGCGUGCUCCGAUGGCAUGAAGCUCCUUGGACUGAAGCUCGUUUUACUUCAGCAUGUUGCGGAAACUAAUUUUUUUGCAUACUUCUUAAUAUAUAUAUAUUUUUUUUUUAAUCAAGUUGGAUCAUAAUUCUUCCCUUCUUGUUGAAAGCAUGUCAAAAUAAACUGUAAUUGAACUAUUAAAAUGAUAGGGAAGGCUGGUAGCAACUGAUGGGGUCAGUUUACAUUGGAGCACAACACGAAUGGAUUCUCAGUCCCCUUCCUGAACCUUGAAGUGGUGCAUAUCCAUAGGUGGUGUUACAGCAUCUCUUGUUAGCUUGUGCUUAGGGCCAACACUGGGGGACUUAAGAGUGCAUGUGUUUCAAAUGCAAUUAAAUUGUCAUCUCAGGAACCCUGAAUUUAUUAAUUUGAGCACUGUGCUGUUGUUAGGAUGCAGAACCAUCUUGGGAGUUGGUGCAUUCCUUCCAGCUUGAGAGAAUACUAGUCCUGUGGAAAAUGUAGAGUUUGAACAUUGUUCCUUUAGAAUAUUGUUUAUACAGUGCUAGUUUAGUGGCAAGCAUUGCACUGUAUUAACCCAAAAAUGUUUACUUCCUUAAAAACCCAUUCAAUGACAUGUGAGAAUUUAAUAACAAUGGAAGGGUUGACUAAAAACUUGCAAUGCUUAAUUUCAGGUAUAAUCUUUUCCACUGGAUUGGCUUUUUGUUGCCUUUUGGGAUAUAGCGUAAAAUAUACUUAGUAGAUGGUCUCACCAAUUUGGAGUUUUGCUGUUAUGAAGAUAUCUGUUUUGUUAAUAGUUUUGGGGUUUUCCCCAUAAAAUAUUUAAAAAAACAUAGCUGUAGGCAUUUCAGGUUUGUAUUCAUAAUAAUCCACAAAAAACUGAAGUUUAAUAGAAUUAUCUAUGUCUAAAAUGUAAGUUGAACAGAUAAACUGAACAUUAAAUUUUCAUGAAAACAAUACUUUUAAUGAUUUUAAAUGCAUGGAAACAGGCCCUCAAUGUGUCUGUUUUCAAUGGGAUAGAUUUAAUAGGUCUUUUCCAUCUUUAACUUCCUGAAGGUACUAUAAAAAUUAAUAUAAUAGGAAUUUGGAGGUAUUCAUGUUAAUGACCUCAGCCUGAUUACUAAAAGCAGAAAGGGAUGGCUUUCUUCAAAAAAGCAGUUUAGAACAGCAACUGUUUUUUCCUAAUUGAAGGAACUAUUCAGAAAAGUUUAAGUUCAGAGCAUGCUUAUAGGUAAACCUAUUUAAAUAAACUGCUUUCGUAUAAUGAUUAUUUUAUACCCAAAUUACAUUAAAAGAAAAAAAAUAAUCCUUGUAAAUGUGGGUAAAAGCUUAUUGAUUUGUAUGUAGUCCCUCAAAUAGAGGACAAAAUACUCAUAAGAAGAGGUAUGAGAUUCAAAAGGAACUUAACUGUGUUACUGCAUACAUGUGUUGAUAAGUUUUUUCCAUUUGUUUUGGUAAAUUGUUUGUCUAGAGCUAUUGUUCCUAGUUUUACUAGUGUGCUUUUUAAUCUUAAUUUCUGUAGAGUAAAGCAUAGCUGUAUAAUUUGAUUGAAUUUACAUGCAAACUGUAUGUGGGACAUUAAGUGCUUGACUUGAAAGAAGUGCAGUGAGAAUAAAGAUACUGUUCUUGCCUUCAAUUUCUCAGUAAAAAAAAAUAAUUGCGUAGAUCCUUGUACCGGAAUAAGUGUGAAAGGUCCUGUAUGUGAAUUUGAAAAAAGAUGGGGGAGGGAGAAUAAAGUAACAUAAUGAAAAUGGGAGAAAUGUGGUUUAAUUUUACAUCUAUAGCAGAUUCACAAAAAUAACUUCAAUGCUUGUUGUACAUGAAAAGCACAAACUAAUUUUUAAUGGAAAAGAUGGAAAUACCAGAUACAUCAGUAUCUUUGAUAUUUUAAACUUGGAGUUUAGUGUUGUGUAGAUGGCCAAAGAAUAUGAAAAAAAAAUAUGAAAUGAAUUGAUGUUCUAUACAAUUUUAAUAUGCAUGGGAUGUAGGGUGGGCUCACUGCAGUUGAAUAUGUUUCUUCUGUGUUGUUGUUAUGAAAUCGUUCUGUAGGACUUGGGUUUUGUGGCUGAAUACAGCAGCUGUAUAACAGCGUACACACCUUGUGUUGUCCUAAGUAUGAAACAGCUGAUUUUAAGAUUGUUAGCCUCCCCUCAAACCAGUGAGAAUCCAGGCUUAGACCUAUGUCAGAGCCAGAAAAGCAGCAAACAGAAGAUGGUGUAAAGGAAAAUAAAAUAGUGGGUACUUUAUUAGUAAUUAGGGAAUAGGGUUAAGGUGUUUUCAUUAGUUUUUUGGCCUUAAAUUUACUGUAAUCAAUUUUUUAUUUAUGUGAAAGGGCAAGUAAUUUUAUUCUCAGUGAAUAUUGAAAAAAAAAAACAGCCACCCACCAAAACGAUACAUCCCUCCCCCACAAAAACAGUGCCUAACACCCCCCUCCCAAGCAAAAAACAAGUUUUCACUCUUUAAAUAACCACAUAUACCUAAGCAAGGUGGAAGAGGAAAUGUAGUAAAUCUAAAAAGAUGUAAAAACCACAAGGUUUUAUUGUAAUUCUUUUUGCAGCUGUUUGCUCCUGGUGUUUUGGGCGUUUUAUAUGUUUCGGUUUUUUAAAAGCUCCAUUACUGUUUGUUAUCUGCUGUAAAAGGAUUUAUUCUGUUACUAAGUUUUAAGUAUUUUUAUCUGAGGUAAAAUUGCAGGGAAAAACCCUGCAUAAACCAGCUAUGGCACUACUGUAGAUUGCAGUCUUUGAACUGCCAGCUGGAAGCGGUCUUUCGAGCUGCUCACAAAUGUUUUAAAUGGUUGUAUGCUAAUGGACAAUUUGAAUUCAUGUGCAUAUUUAAAAAUAAUAAUCCAUGUAUUGCUGCGGAUCGCUCUUUGCCCUCCUUGCUGCUUGGUCCUGCUUCCUGCCUGCUUUGUGCCACCCUUGCACCUCUGUGCCCGUGCGGUGAGCGGGGUAAAAGAGACCCGGGGAAAGUUACUGAUUCUGCUCAUUUUGGUGUGGAAGGAAAGAACAGCAAGGAGUGGGCAAUAGCGUGAGACUCUUCCUAACUGUGGUCAUAGGUUAGUUUGUGCUGUAUCAACAUCUCUGUGCCACAUAGAGAAUGUAGUUUUAUGUACGUGUUUGGAUGACUUCUCAGUGCUUCUAAGAAAUACCUAGCUUAGAACAAAUAGGUGAGAAAUAUGUUGAGGGCUUGAGGUGUCUGAAUGGCACGGUUAUGUUUUACGUUCUUAGUGAUAGUUGGCCCAAGAGGGCAAGUAUUUGAAGUAAUGAAGAAAAAAAACUGUACACUAAAGUGUUGAGCCAAAUUAUAUGUGAGCUUGAUCUGUCUGUUCGUUUUCUGCAGUUGCCAAGAAGGUUACAUGCCAGCCAGUAAAAUAUGGAAAAUAGUGUUCUUCAUGAUUUCUCCAGGAAAGAUGAUAUACACAGUUGCUUUAGAGAAGCAAGACUAUUCACAUGUGCUUUUUCUUGAAGAAAAUAUGUGGACUGCAAUUACAAAGAUGAGAAAUACUGUCUUUUAAAAUGCUAACACUGUUCAUUCUUUGAUACAAUAGCACCGAAUUGUUGAUAUUUUAUAUUCCACAUUUAAGGGAGAGAGCAUGUGAAAGGUAAGCUGCAGCUCCAGUUCUAAUCAACUUCAAAAGCCUUUUCCAGAAGGCACAGAAAGAAAAGUCUAAUAAUGAAACAGUAAUUCAUCUUCACUUUUGUUCCAAUGUGGAACAUUGUGCUUUUAGAACUUCCAGCGUUGUAUCACAUUUGACAUUUUCAGAACCAGAGCUGUGCUAAGUAAUACAAAUAAAGUUUCUGCCUGAGUGUGUGAAGAAUGCAAUUGCUACAUUUCAAAAACUGAAUGUUCAGAGUUUUGAAAGAAAAUGUAUGAAAUAAUUGUCAUAUAUUGAAUUACUGCUUUAAAAGUGAAAACUUUUGACUUUAUGACAACUUGGCAGGUGGGAUGGCUAUGCCUUAAGAACCAUGUUGCUAUAUGUGCCAGUUUAUCGUUGCCAUGUUAUGCUUUGUGUAGUUUUUGUAAUAUCUCUUAAUGCAUGUUCAGCAUCAUUCUUGCAUCACAGUUGUGUACAGUUUCAUAUUUUAUUCACACUGCUGAAUGCAAAUGUCUGUAGAAGGGGAUACUAACACAUUUGUAGCUACUGAUGUAGGAUGUAACUCAUUGAGAAGAGUUUUUCAUUGCUACGCUUGCUUUCUGUUUUGUGUUUGCUCUGCAUGUUUUCUGCAAAAUAUACUUUUUCUAUUGCAUAUGGGGAAAAAGUAGCAAGUUGUGAAAAUGCAUUUGUUGGGAAAGUUAAUGGAUGUCCUGGAUGCCUCUUACUGCUUCUAAAGUGACAGCUGGCUCAGGGAAGUAACAUCGCUUGGUAUACUUUUAUGCAUGAUUACAUCUAGAUUUUUAUCUUGCUUAUGGACAAUUUCAGUACUAAUGUUAAAGACAAAAAAAAUUCUGAGUUUUAGUUCCCAUAGAUAAUCUGGUUUAAUUGAAAGCAUAUGGACAAAACAGCAAAUUAAUUAUAGAUGACUUGAUGUUUGCUCUGAAUAGUACUGUAACUCCGAACUUGUAUUAAACAUAAAAAAAA